GAGGUGGUAGAAGCGUUCCAGAAUGGAUCGGAGUUCUGCUGUACUGGACACUGGAUUCUUAUUAGUAAAAGUUGUAUCCAUUGUAAAAAAAAAAAGUUUACUGUAAGAAGUCUGGAUCUGUAAAGGAUACCAAGACUGUCAUGAAGUCCUUUCCAGUUUGCAGAGACGUCUUUUUGUGACUUAAAGGAUUUUUAGUCAGGUUUCAUGUAAAUCAAUCCCUGCAAUGAAUGUCAUGACCUUUGACCCAGCAAACAGUUGUAUCACUGCACAAUACAACAUGUAAUGAUCCCGUCAAGGAGCUCUUGUUGAGCUCCGUCACCUCAGGGAGUCCCGGACUUUAGAUUAUUGGUAAUUUGCUGAAAGACGCGUCCUUAAAAAUGAGGUGUUCUGAUCAGAUACUCAACCUAAGAUGAAUUCUUUGCAAUUAGAUCAUCCUGUUGCACAAUAAAUACUCACAAAAUUUCAAAUUCAGGUCAGAGCCAGCCAAAUAGUCUAAUUCUUUCAUCCUGAUGUAAAAGUUAAAAAUGUUCUCUGGUUAAUUCAGGCAUAUAUAAAAAAAGAUAAAUGGAGCUUGGUGCUUUGCAUCAAAUUUCCAGUUUACAACGUGACAUUGAAGACAAAUCUUUCCAAAUAGGCAGUUAUUUUUGUUCGGUAAAUCCACAAUGCUGUCCAAAAGAGAUCGCAAAGCAAAUCAGCCAUAAAUCAGAUGCGAGAGUUGGGCAUCAGAGGGCUGUAGAGACCAAAAUGUAGGGCAGAGAGGGGAGCAGAGAAAUGGAACAGAAGGGGAGAGAGGAAGAUGAAAGUGGAAAUGCAGGAGGGAAAAAGCAAUGCAAGAAAAGGAACAAGACUUGAAGAAAGAAGAGACAGUGGAUGGAGAGCAAAACAGAUUGUUAGAAAAGAAAAAGAGAAAGAUGGGCUAAUAAAGUGAGUGGGAUGGAGAUAGCUUCUCCCUGGGGUUUCUCCGCUUUCUGAGUCUCACAUCCUCCAAAGAUUGCUCAUAAUGCCUGCAGGAAGUAGCCAGGUCAAAGCAGGUAUCUAAUGCUGGAGAGGGACACGAAGUGACAGUCUUAGAGGUGAAAAGCUUAAAAAAGCUAGGCUUCAAACCUGGAUGGGAGGAGAGUCAGAAAACAAGGACGGGAAAGACAGAAAAUAUUUUGCAGAAGGUUUGAUGCAGCAAAUCCCUUUCAAAGUCAGUCAGCCGUAUGUUGUUCAGUAAGGUUUCAGAAGCCUUUCUUCUGUAGCGUCACAAGAGAAGCAAGAUCCCAGCAUCGCUCCCGAUCUUCUACACAUGCCGUGGACAAAUACAAACACUGCGUUUAUCCAGCUAAAUCCUCCAGCCCUCUAAAUGAGCCCGUAAAAACAAGAAGGUGUGUGGGAAAUACAUUUCUCUGGCUCCAAACAUCCUGAUCGAAGAUGUGCUGUAGGACCAUCGAUUACCUAGCAACAACCAAGGAGAAAGAAUGGAGCUUACAUCACCACCCUUCUGAUUUCUUGGCACUACCUAUAAAGAUGUGUAACAGUCUCAAAUAAGUUAAGUUGCAUAAUCUGCAACUGGAUAAAAAUACUAGACCUGCACAAGGCUGGGAUGGGCUACAGGAAAAUGGAAAGCAGCUUGGUGAGAAGGCAACAACUGUUGGGCAAUUACAAGAAAAUGGAAGAAGUUCAAGAUAACGGUCAAGCUCCCUCAGUCUUGUGCUCCAUCCAAGAUCUCACCUCGUGGGGCAUCAAUGAUCAUCAGGAAGGGUCGGGAUCAGCCCAGAACUACAUGGCAGGAUCUAGUCGAUGACCUGAAGAGAGCUGGCACCACAGUCUCAAAGAAGCCCAUUAGUAAUACACUACGCCGCCAUGGAUUAAAAUCCUGCAGCACACGCAAGGUCCCACUGCUCAUGCCAGUGCCUGUCCAGGCCUGUCUGAAGUUUGCCGAUGACCAUCUGGAUGUUUUUCUCCAAAGGGGGCAGGACAACUGCACCGUAUUGAGGGGAGGAUGGAUAGGGCCAUGUAUCUGGAGAUCUUAGCCACCAACCUCCUUCCCUCAGUAAGGGCACUGAAGAUGGGUUGUGGCUGGGUUUUCCAGCAUGACAACGACCCAAAGAAGAGACACAGCCAGGGCAACUAAGGAGUGGCUCUGUAAGAAGCAUCUCAAUGUCCUGGAGUGGCUUAACCAAUCUCCAGACCUGAACCCAAUUAAAAUCUUUGGAGGAAGCGGAAAGAGUGUAUUGCCCAGUGACAGCCCUGAUACCUGAAGGAUCUGGAGAAGAUCUGUAUGGAG